GACGAACGCUGGCGGCGUGCUUAACACAUGCAAGUCGAACGGAAAGACCCUGCUUUUGUGGGGUGCUCGAGUGGCGAACGGGUGAGUAACACGUGGGUAACCUGCCCUUGACUUUGGGAUAACUUCAGGAAACUGGGGCUAAUACCGGAUAGGAGCUCCUGCUGCAUGGUGGGGGUUGGAAAGUUUCGGCGGUUGGGGAUGGACUCGCGGCUUAUCAGCUUGUUGGUGGGGUAGUGGCUUACCAAGGCUUUGACGGGUAGCCGGCCUGAGAGGGUGACCGGCCACAUUGGGACUGAGAUACGGCCCAGACUCCUACGGGAGGCAGCAGUGGGGAAUAUUGCACAAUGGGCGGAAGCCUGAUGCAGCAACGCCGCGUGCGGGAUGACGGCCUUCGGGUUGUAAACCGCUUUCGCCUGUGACGAAGCGUGAGUGACGGUAAUGGGUAAAGAAGCACCGGCUAACUACGUG
rnacentral:rRNA from 1 species